AUUGAAGGAUUAAAGCAAUUCUCGUGCGAAUAUCGACGCAGUAUUAAGCACUCGACAAAUUCUACAGCUAGUACUGCCAAAGGGAAAAUCAAAACCCAUGUUAUAUGACUUAUCACGCAUAUGAGAAGGCAUUGUCGAUCAUUCGAGAGGUAGGGAAAAGGAAAGAAUAUUUUCAUCCAUGCAGAGAAGAUAAAGUCGUGCUUUUGAUGCUGGUGAAUAUGCCCGAACGGUUGACUUUGCUAUUACCAGCAGAUAUUCUUAUUAUAAACACUGAAGAAACUGCAUGCUUUAAUACCAGUAAAUAUCUUAAUACUGUAUAUAUAUAGACAAUAUACUGUAACCUAGAUAUGAAUGUCUUAAAAUAGUAGGCCCUAAGGCUUGUGUCCAAUUGUCAAUUACAAGUCCAGCCAUUGACCAAUAUACAGUGAUUCAAUGUCUACUAACAUGUGAUUUGUUACUUUUGAUCAUUCUG